rnacentral:rRNA from 1 species
UGAAUUGACGGGACCCGCACAAGCGGUGGAUGAUGUGGUUUAAUUCGAUGCAACGCGAAAAACCUUACCCACCUUUGACAUGUACGGAAGUUGCCAGAGAUGGCUUCGUGCUCGAAAGAGAGCCGUAACACAGGUGUUGCAUGGCUGUCGUCAGCUCGUGUCGUGAGAUGUUGGGUUAAGUCCCGCAACGAGCGCAACCCUUGUCAUUAGUUGCUACGAAAGGGCACUCUAAUGAGACUGCCGGUGACAAACCGGAGGAAGGUGGGGAUGACGUCAAGUCCUCAUGGCCCUUAUAGGUGGGGCUACACACGUCAUACAAUGGCUGGUACAAAGGGUUGCCAACCCGCGAGGGGGAGCCAAUCCCAUAAAGCCAGUCGUAGUCCGGAUCGCAGUCUGCAACUCGACUGCGUGAAGUCGGAAUCGCUAGUAAUCGUGGAUCAGCAUGUCACGGUGAACACGUUCCCGGGUCUU